UAGGGAAUCUUCCACAAUGGGCGAAAGCCUGAUGGAGCAACGCCGCGUGUGUGAUGAAGGGUUUCGGCUCGUAAAACACUGUUGUAAGAGAAGAAUGACAUUGAGAGUAACUGUUCAAUGUGUGACGGUAUCUACCAGAAAGGAACGGCUAAAUACGUGCCAC
rnacentral:rRNA from 1 species